rnacentral:rRNA from 1 species
AAGAUGGCGACCGGCGCACGGGUGAGUAACACGUAUCCAACCUGCCGAUAACUCUGGAAUAGCCUUUCGAAAGAAAGAUUAAUACCGGAUGGCAUACGAAUAUCACAUGAUAUUUUUAUUAAAGAAUUUCGGUUAUCGAUGGGGAUGCGUUCCAUUAGUUUGUUGGCGGGGUAACGGCCCACCAAGACAACGAUGGAUAGGGGUUCUGAGAGGAAGGUCCCCCACAUUGGAACUGAGACACGGUCCAA